rnacentral:rRNA from 1 species
UACGGAGGGUGCAAGCGUUAUCCGGAUUUACUGGGUUUAAAGGGUGCGCAGGCGGAUAUGUAAGUCAGUGGUGAAAUCUCCGGGCUUAACCCGGAAACUGCCGUUGAUACUAUAUAUCUUGAAUGCUGUGGAGGUAAGCAGAAUAUGUCAUGUAGCGGUGAAAUGCCUAGAGAUGACAUAGAAUACCUAUUGCGAAGGCAGCUUACUACGCAGAUAUUGACGCUCAUGCACGAAAGCGUGGGGAGCAAACAGG